rnacentral:misc_RNA from 1 species
GGAUAAAGCUUAUUUGCAAAGUGGAGCUAGUAAUGCUAUGGAAUGUAGGCCUUUAUUUAUCAUGAUUGUCUUAUGUAGGAAUUGAAAUAAAUGCAAAUUGUUGUUUUCUACUUGACAUUUGCAUCAAAUUUAUUUUAGAUGUUUGAGAUUCCCAUAACAGUGGGUUUACAUCGAGGAUCGGUUUUGAGUCUGUAUCUAUUUAUCUUACUUGUGGAUGAGCUAACCAAUCAUAUUGAAGAUGAUGUCCUAUGGUGCAUGCUAUUUGCAUGUAAUAUUGUCUUAUUAGUAGAUGAAAGUAGUGAAAGAGUUGAUCAAAAGUUGGAAUUAUGG